rnacentral:siRNA from 1 species
UAACUUCUCCUUAAAACCAUCCCC